rnacentral:rRNA from 1 species
GACGAACGCUGGCGGCGUGCUUAACACAUGCAAGUCGAACGGAGUGGCGAACGGGUGAGUAACACGUGGGUGAUCUGCCUUGCUCUUCGGGCUACGCUUGGGAAACUGGGUCUAAUACCGGAUAGUGCAAGAUGAGCUCGCUGCCUAUCAGCUUGUUGGUGGGGUAAUUGCCUACCAAGGCGUCGACGGGUAGCCGGCCUGAGAGGGUGUCCGGCAACAUAGGGACUGAGAGACGGCCCAGACUCGUACGAGAGGCAGCAGUGGGGAAGAUUGCACAAUGGGCGGAAGCCUGAUGCAGCGACGCCGCGUGGGGGAUGAAGGCCUUCGGGUUGUAAACUCCUUUCGACAGGGACGCGGUACCUGUAUAAGAAGCACCGGCUAACUACGUGCCAGCAGCCGCGGUAAUUC